rnacentral:rRNA from 1 species
CCUACGGGCGGCAGCAGUGAGGAAUAUUGGUCAAUGGACGGAAGUCUGAACCAGCCAUGCCGCGUGCAGGAUGACGGCUCUAUGAGUUGUAAACUGCUUUUGUAUUAGGGUAAACACCCCUACGUGUAGGGGCUUGAAAGUAUAAUACGAAAAAGCAUCGGCUAACUCCGUGCCAGCAGCCGCGGUAAUACGGAGGAUGCGAGCGUUAUCCGGAUUUAUUGGGUUUAAAGGGUGCGCAGGCGGCGUGUCAAGUCAGCGGUAAAAUGUCGGGGCUCAACCCCGGCCGGCCGUUGAAACUGGCGUGCUCGAGUUGGAGAGAAGUAUGCGGAAUUCGUGGUGUAGCGGUGAAAUGCAUAGAUAUCACGAAGAACCCCGAUUGCGAAGGCAGCAUACCGGCUCCACACUGACGCUGAGGCACGAAAGCGUGGGUAUCGAACAGGAUUAGAUACCCGGGUAGUC